UGAUCACCUGGAUGACAGAAGUGAUGCAGACAAACCGCAGCCCGCCGAGCAAACCUGGAAGCUCACAACCCACCAGGCUGGGAGGCCCGAGAGAGUUAACACACGUGAAACCCUGGGAGCUGGCCCCGGCCCACUGAUUGGGCUCAGGCACGAGGCUACGCAUAGCUCUGACCAUAUCAGAAGGAACUCAAGGUCCAGCCUUUUAUAUGGAGCAUUCCCAGGAGGCAAACCCAGAGGCAUUCUCCCCUCUCCUUUCUCAUUUCACCUGUCCUUGUCGUCACUCCUCUCCAAGGAGCCUGCAAGAAGGGCCUGUGCCCAGAACAGUCAGGAUUUCUACUUCAAGACGUGCCCUGGGACCAUAGUAGGGACAUGGCUUUACACCUUUCCAAAUGCGGUCACAGUCAUCAUCUGACGCCACCCUACAACUGUGAUAAGAAACCACUUUCUCCAAGUCUCGUUCCCCAUCCUGUAGGGCAGGAUCCUGAGGCAUCUCAGGGUGGGGAUGCUUGGAGAUGAAGACACUGGGGAAGCCGACCUGCCACCUUGGCCAAUGGCACCUGCUUUACUUCCACCAUAAUCGACGCAUCAGAAGAGCAGCCUCAGGCAGGUGCCCAGAGUUGGGGGAAUUUCUCUCAAAGAGGAUCACCCUCUGACCAACCAAUAUAAUAUCUAUCUAUCUCCACUCUUCUUCGAAGCUGCAUUUCUCAGCACAAACCCACGAACUGGCAGCAUGACCAGUAUCCCUAAGGAAGAGGAAGCCAAGAAGGAGAUGCCUUCAGUCCUCUGCCUGUCACCUGCCAGAGAACCAGGAUGCUUGGUGGGGUUGGCCUUCCUUUCUCCAAACUGCCAUCAGUUGUGACGUCACUGUCAGCUGUGCCCGGUGUCUAACUUUUCAUCUGUAUCAAUCAGCAUUGAGAGUCCACUGGGUGCCCAGGUCGGGAGGCUCGGCCCCAGGCUGAUGUUAACAUUCACCCCAAGGGGAGUGAGCUCCCUUGCAUUAUCCAGGCCCUGAUGACUGCCCAUGAAGCCAGAUUCCGUGCCCUACGGUGAGGGAUUUCAUCUGCGUUCAAGGUGAAGGGCAUCCAGGGGCAGGUGGGACACCAGCUGAAAGAGAGAACGGUCAUCGAGGAACUUACGAAGAUA